GACGAACGCUGGCGGCGUGCCUAACACAUGCAAGUCGAGCGGGGGGAGUACUUCGGUACAAACCUAGCGGCGGACGGGUGAGUAACACGUGGGUAACCUGCCUCAAAGUGGGGGAUAGCCUUCCGAAAGGAAGAUUAAUACCGCAUAACCCAUAGCUUCCGCAUGGAAGCAAUGGUAAAGAUUUAUCGCUUUGGGAUGGACCCGCGGCGCAUUAGCUAGUUGGUGAGGUAACGGCUCACCAAGGCCACGAUGCGUAGCCGACCUGAGAGGGUGAUCGGCCACAUUGGAACUGAGACACGGUCCAGACUCCUACGGGAGGCAGCAGUGGGGAAUAUUGCACAAUGGGCGAAAGCCUGAUGCAGCAACGCCGCGUGAGUGAUGAAGGCCUUCGGGUUGUAAAGCUCUGUCUUUUGGGACGAUAAUGACGGUACCAAAGGAGGAAGCCACGGCUAACUACGUGCCAGCCGCCGCAGUAAUAC
rnacentral:rRNA from 1 species